rnacentral:tRNA from 1 species
UGGAGGAGUGGCCGAGUGGUUGAAGGCACCGGUCUUGAAAACCGGCGACGUGAAAGCGUUCUAGAGUUCGAAUCUCUACUCCUCCGUC